AGGUCAAUAAUGUCAAAGAUGACCUGUCUCAAAUUGGAUUUGAUGUCGAAUCAAUUCAGAAAAUGGUUGCUGGAUUGGAGGGAAAGAUCGAGUUACUUGAGAACAAACAGGACGUGGCUAAUACUGGUAUCUGGUACCUCUGCCAAGUAGCAGGCGGUUUAAAAGAUGGAAUAAACACCAGGUUUUUCUAGGUGAUCAGA